CCUACGGGAGACAGCAGUGGGGAAUAUUGCACAAUGGGGGAAACCCUGAUGCAGCGACGCCGCGUGAGUGAAGAAGUAUUUCGUUAUGUAAAGCUCUAUCAGCAGGGAAGAAAAUGACGGUACCUGACUAAGAAGCCCCGGCUAACUACGUGCCAGCAGCCGCGGUAAUACGUAGGGGGCAAGCGUUAGCCGGAUUUACUGGGUGUAAAGGGAGCGUAGACGGCAGUGCAAGUCUGGAGUGAAAGGCGGGGGCUCAACCCUCGGACUGCUUUGGAAACUGUACGGCUUGAGUGCAGGAGAGGUAAGGGGAAUUCCUAGUGGAGCGGUGAAAUGCGUAGAUAUUAGGAGGAACACCAGUGGCGAAGGCGGCUUACUGGACUGUAACUGACGUUGAGGCUCGAAAGCGUGGGGAGCAAACAGGAUUAGAUACCCUUGUAGUC
rnacentral:rRNA from 1 species